CUCAGGCCCGCGCUCGCCUUCCAGCGCGCGGCCGCGGCGCGUCUCUGAAUCGUCGUCUAUCGGCUUCUGCGGCGGGGCGGGCGGUGGAACCGCCUGCCUUUGUGUCCUCGCCGCGCCUGCGACGUCUCCGCGCCCCACUGUGUGUACAGGGCGCUGCUUUUAAUCUUCUGGAAAUCAAUCCUGACUCAAGUUUUCGAUUCAUUGACUUGAACACUCGGGUGGUCGCUUCCCCCAGAGUCAGUGUGCGCGUUUGAAGGGCGGAGAACCGCUCGAUUCUCACAGUGCACCAGGGAGGUUUCUGUUAUAGUAUUUCCUUGCUGGUCUCCUCCUCAUGCUAUAUCUUUUACCCAGCUGAGUAGCUCUAACGAGCACCCGGAGGAUAACUGGCAAAACAGCAGAGGAGUUCAGAGCCCGACGAAGGAAAAGUUACAGAAAUCCGGAGCCCGCCUCCCAGCGCCGCAGGAAGCGUGCUGCAGAGGAGCACGCAUCUGCUUCCGUGCGUGCAGUUCCAGGCCGCCGGUUCUGCUGUCAGAGUGGUCCGUCAGAGCCCAUCUGAGAGCGUUUCAGCAAGGCUCUGGAGAGCAAAACUCCCAACUGCGUUCAUAGCUCUGACCCCAGCCCCACCAGCAACAGCGUAUGUUGUAUUGAGAGAAAGGAUGUGUUGUCACUUCUGUGCUCCUGACCUCCCUACUUGCCUGCCAUGAGCAUUGCCUCUGAGCGAGCUCUCACCGUGAGGAGGUGAGAGGGGCCAGGUCUCUGAGAGACACCUGCGAGAAGAAAGCCAUAGUGUACUGUCUGGAUGGCCCGCUUAUGCUGUGUAACAAAUACCCCCAAACCGAGGAGCUUAACAAACACUUUUUCUCUCCUGCUCACUCACAGAGGUCGUGUGGGAGAGGUCCAGUCUGCUCUCCAGGGCAGCCAGCUUCACCUGUCCUCGUUCUGGGUGCCUGAUCGCAUGGAACCUGCAUGUCCUCUCACGGGCGAAGAGGAGUAUAGAGAAUCAAGAACCAACUUGUAAACUCUGCCCCUCAGGUGACACGUCACCCUCCUUACUUUUGUUGACCAAAGCAAGACACAUGACCUCACCUUACCUUCAAGGGGGCAGGAGAGUGGGGUCGUCUCCUGAGUCUGAGUGAAUCUAAGAACUGAAGCAGAAAAAAGAGGUGAAACAGAUGGAUUUCGGAGUUUUCGCCAAAAGGAAACAUGUUCUGAUGCCAGAAUGCAAAACAUCAAAAUUGGCUUUGAGUGGUUAGGGGGAGACAGUGUGGUGAUAUUUAUGGCAAACACAAAUAUUAUGCUGUAAAGUGGGUGCUGAUGUAAGAAGAGACCCCUGGGCCUUGUCUGGAUUUAAUGCUCAGGCUUCCUUUGGGAUGGAGACCCAAGAUGGAGCCAGUGAUGGCGGGCUGGGGGAGAGAGCUCCUGGCUCCGGGGCCUUGUAGCAUCUCAUCAGUGAGUCAGAGCAGAUGGAGUGAGGGUUGGGGGAAAGUGCCUGCAAUGCCUCCAGCUGCACGUAGUGGAGUGAACACUGAGCACCGGGCAAGGUGGUGGUGACAGCCCACAGAGGGCAGCAUUUAAGAGCUUUUAAUCCAAAGAGCUGUUUAGAAUUCCUCAACGUAAAAACUCAAUUCUUGCCACUGGA